rnacentral:rRNA from 1 species
GACGAACGCUGGCGGCGUGCUUAACACAUGCAAGUCGAACGAUGAAGCCGGAGCUUGCUCUGGUGAAUUAGUGGCGAACGGGUGAGUAACACGUGAGUAACCUGCCCUUGACUCUGGGAUAACUGCUAGAAAUGGUAGCUAAUACCGGAUACGACCCUCGGAGGCAUCGCCAGGGGGUGGAAAGAAUUUCGGUCAAGGAUGGACUCGCGGCCUAUCAGCUAGUUGGUGAGGUAACGGCUCACCAAGGCGACGACGGGUAGCCGGCCUGCGAGGGGGACCGGCCAGACUGGGACUGAGACACGGCCCAGACUCCUACGGGAGGCAGGAGUGGGGAAUAUUGCACAAUGGGCGCAAGCCUGAUGCAGCAACGCCGCGUGAGGGAUGACGGCCUUCGGGUUGUAAACCUCUUUUAGUAGGGAAGAAGCGAAAGUGACGGUACCUGCAGAAAAAGCACCGGCUAACUACGUGCCAGCCGCCGCGGUAA